rnacentral:rRNA from 1 species
AGCGAACGCUGGCGGCAGGCCUAACACAUGCAAGUCGAACGAAGUCUUCGGACUUAGUGGCGGACGGGUGAGUAACGCGUGGGAACGUGCCUUUAGGUUCGGAAUAACUCAGGGAAACUUGUGCUAAUACCGAAUGUGCCCUUCGGGGGAAAGAUUUAUCGCCUUUAGAGCGGCCCGCGUCUGAUUAGCUAGUUGGUGAGGUAAAGGCUCACCAAGGCGACGAUCAGUAGCUGGUCUGAGAGGAUGAUCAGCCACAUUGGGACUGAGACACGGCCCAAACUCCUACGGGAGGCAGCAGUGGGGAAUCUUGCGCAAUGGGCGAAAGCCUGACGCAGCCAUGCCGCGUGAAUGAUGAAGGUCUUAGGAUUGUAAAAUUCUUUCACCGGGGACGAUAAUGACGGCACCCGGAGAAGAAGCCCCGGCUAACUUCGUGCCAGCCGCCGCCGUAAUAC